rnacentral:rRNA from 1 species
AUUCCAGCUCCAAUAGCGUAUACUAAAGUUGUUGCAGUUAAAAAGCUCGUAGUUGAAUUUCUGGUCUUGGACAGCGGUCUGCCUCAAAAGAGGUACGCACCAUCUAUCCGAGUCCAUCCUCGGGGAAAACAUGUGUGUGAUUCAGUUCAUGUGCAUGGGAUCCUCGUCAUUUACUGUGAGCAAAAUAGAGUGUUCAAAGCAGGCUUAUGCCGUUGAAUAUUUUAGCAUGGAAUAAUAAGAUAAGACCUUGGUCUAUUUUGUUGGUUUGUACUCCAAGGUAAUGAUUAAUAGGGAUAGUUGGGGGCGUUUAUAUUCCGUUGUCAGAGGUGAAAUUCUUGGAUUUACGGAAGAUAAACUACUGCGAAAGCAUUCGCCAAGGAUGUUUUCAUUA